GAUCAUUCACUUAUGUUCAUCGGCCCCCUACGUAGAGCAUGCUUAAGCCGGAGCUGACUGCUAGGAUAAACUACUUAGGACAAUUUUUAAAAUGAUAGUAAAGGCCAAGAUGGUGGGGUUUAGGAGUGAUUCCUAUAUUCAAGAGGUCUAUGGUGCUAAAAUGGUUCUGAUGUUUCAAAAAGUUGACCUAGGUCACUACAUCCUAAUCUAAACCUGUCCCAAAGCCCAAAAAACAUGUGAAACAACAUCA
rnacentral:lncRNA from 1 species